rnacentral:rRNA from 1 species
CCAACUGGGAUGCCUCAGUAACGGCGAGUGAAGCGGCAAAAGCUCAAAUUUGAAAUCUAGCACCUUCGGUGUUCGAGUUGUAAUUUGAAGAUGGUAACCUUGGGUUUGGCUCUUGUCUAUGUUCCUUGGAACAGGACGUCAUAGAGGGUGAGAAUCCCGUCUGAUGAGAUGCCCAUUCCUAUGUAAGGUGCUAUCGAAGAGUCGAGUUGUUUGGGAAUGCAGCUCUAAGUGGGUGGUAAAUUCCAUCUAAAGCUAAAUAUUGGCGAGAGACCGAUAGCGAACAAGUACAGUGAUGGAAAGAUGAAAAGAACUUUGAAAAGAGAGUGAAAAAGUACGUGAAAUUGUUGAAAGGGAAGGGCAUUAGAUCAGACUUGGUGUUUUACGAUUAUCUUCUCUUCUUGAGUUGUGCACUCGUAUUUCACUGGGCCAGCAUCGAUUCGGAUGGCAAGAUAAUGGCAGUUGAAUGUGGCUUCACUUCGGUGGAGUGUUAUAGCUUCUGCUGAUAUUGCCUGUCUGGAUCGAGGGCUGCGUCUUUUGACUAGGAUGCUGGCGUAAUGAUCUAAUGCCGCCCGUCUUAACACCCGGACCAAAAUUAAAAUAAAAAUAA